rnacentral:rRNA from 1 species
ACAGAGGUCUCGAGCGUUAGGCGGAAUCACUGGGCUUAAAGCGUGUGUAGGCGGGUCGUUAAGUACCUUGUGAAAUCUCAUGGCUCAACCAUGGAACUGCUUGGUAUACUGGCGAUCUUGGGCCAACUAGGGGCAGCCGGAACAAGCGGUGGAGCGGUGAAAUGCGUAGAUAUCGCUUGGAACGCCGAAGGUGAAAACAGGCUGCUGGGGUUGUGCCGACGCUGAGACACGAAAGCCAGGGGAGCAAACGGGA